rnacentral:rRNA from 1 species
UUAAAGUCUAACCUGCCCACUGAAUUUUUAAAUGGCCGCAGUAUUCUAACUGUGCAAAGGUAGCAUAAUCAUUAGUCUUUUAAUUGAAGGCUGGAAUGAAUGGUUGGACGAAAUAUUAACUGUUUCAUUUUAAUUUUUUAUAGAAUUUUAUUUUUUAGUCAAAAAGCUAAAAUUUUAUUAAAAGACGAGAAGACCCUAUAAAUCUUUAUAUUUCUUUUAUUUUAAUUUUAAAGAUUAUUUUAAUUUUAAUAAAUAAAAAUAUUUUAUUGGGGUGAUAUUAAAAUUUAAAAAACUUUUAAUUUUUUAAACCAUUAAUUUAUGAAUAUUUGAUCCAUUAAUAAUGAUUAAAAAUUUAAGUUACUUUAGGGAUAACAGCGUAAUUUUUUUGGAGAGUUCAUAUCGAUAAAAAAGAUUGCGACCUCGAUGUUGGAUUAAGAUAUAAUUUUGGGUGUAGCCGUUCAAAUUUUAAGUCUGUUCGACUUUUAAAUUCUUACAUGAUCUGAGUUCAAACCGGCGUAAGCCAGGUUGGUUUCUAUCUUUAAUUAAUUAUAAUAUUUUAGUACGAAAGGACCAAAUAUUAAAAUAAUUAUAUUUUAAAAAAGAAUAUUAUUAAUGAUU